rnacentral:piRNA from 1 species
UCUUCCUUUUAGGCAGCCACCACAGAGGAC